GACAGAGGGUGCAAACGUUGUUCGGAAUUACUGGGCGUAAAGCGCGUGUAGGCUGCUUCGAAAGUCGGAUGUGAAAGCCCUGGGCUCAACCUAGGAAGUGCAUUCGAAACUUCGGAGCUGGAGUUCUGGAGAGGAAGGCGGAAUUCUCGGUGUAGAGGUGAAAUUCGUAGAUAUCGGGAGGAACACCGGUGGCGAAGGCGGCGACCUGGGUCGAUACUGACGCUGAGGUGCGAAAGCGUGGGGAGCAAACAGG
rnacentral:rRNA from 1 species